ensembl:lncRNA
AUCGACCUCAGGGAAGGGCAGGGCUGGAGAUGAAGCUCUAGUGAACGCUAGAGACCUAGAGACACUCUUGAACAACCGGAUGUGAGGAGCCUCCAGGAGGCCUCCGAGGUCCUGGAGGGUGGCAGCCCAGGAUGCGCUUUGCUCAGCUUACUUGGCUGUUCCUGAGUUGUCUGCUUUGUAAUAAACCGGAAAACACAAGUGAAGACCUGCCUUGACUUCUGUCAGCCCCUUGAGCAAAUGAUCUAACAUCAGGAGGGGCACCAAUUUGUAGCCAUGGGUCAGAAAUCCUGAGGGCCAGACCAGCAACUGGUACCAGUGAUUUGGCCUUGAGAUUUGCUUGAAUGGCCUGGCCCACAGACACGUGAGGUUUGGGAAGAAAAAAGAUAAAAGUGGGGGAUGAAGAACUUUGACUCCUGGGUGGCCACGUAGUCACCCUGUGUGGACAGCAAUUGUGAGAUCGCUUCUGAAGGUGAACGCUACCGGUGAGAGCUAGAGCAGAGCUGACUCCCAGGAGCAGAUGAAAAUGCUCAGGCGCCUGCAAAAGAACUGGAACAGAAGAUGUUGUGCCAAUUCAGAUGGUCAAGCCACAUUCUCAAGCCAGGGAACACACUGGAUACCCCACAAGGUCCAACAUGGGCGGAGAAGACUUCUGCACAGUAAUAGACAAGAAAUAGGAACAGGCAGUUGGAACACCGGGCCAAGUUGGUUCAGAGCCUGCGUUUGUCCUGUGCCGGGGCUGAGCCCUUACCUGGGCACGUUACCAGACCAGGAUUCUAAGACAUAGCUUCCGGCAGAGCACAAUCCUCCAUCCUCUCCUGUCACACAGUCUACAGGUAGGUAGGGGCAACUCAGAUAUGACGUGUGGAGCCCUGUGCCAAGUGUGUGACUCUGAGUCCUGUCCCUGUGAACACUGCGAACACAGCCUUUGGAUCCUGCACAGAGACAACAACACCAGAGACUCAGGACAAGACCCCUCCCUACUCAGGCCAAGGAGCACAGUACUGCUGGUUAAGCAUUGAGCACAGCAGCUGCUCACUGGGCUCUGAAGUCUAUGCUGAGUUUGCCUCCCAGCUCUGCUGCUUUAAGCCCCGUGACCCUGGACAAAGUCACGCAAUCUCUCUGCCUCAGUAUCUCCAUCUGCAAAAUCGGCAUCAUAAUAGUAGAUGAAGACUUAGAAUCAUAUGACAUAUGUAGAACAAGUAAGCCACAAGAGUGUAAAUCCUGUGAAAAUAAGUAAAAGACUGAAUGAAUGACUUGGCAAAGAAAAUUCCCACAAGCUGAUUUCUCAGAUGAGCUAUGCUUAUGAAAAAUAUUUGAUGCUGCAUGCCCUGUCUUAGUCAUGUUUCUCAUUGCUAAGACAAAAUACCCAAC